rnacentral:rRNA from 1 species
GGAGGGUGCGAGCGUUGUUCGGAAUCACUGGGCGUAAAGGGCGUGUAGGCGGUCCGCUAAGUCUGAUGUGAAAGCCCGGGGCUCACCCCCGGAAGGGCAUUGGAAACUGGCGGACUCGAGUCCCGGAGAGGAAGGUGGAAUUCCUGGUGUAGCGGUGAAAUGCGUAGAUAUCAGGAGGAAUACCGGUGGCGAAGGCGGCCUUCUGGACGGUGACUGACGCUGAGACGCGAAAGCGUGGGGAGCAAACAGGAUUAGAUACCCUGGUAGUCCACGCUGUAAACGAUGAGCACUAGGUGUCGUGGGUAUUGACCCCCGCGGUGCCGACGCUAACGCAUUAAGUGCUCCGCCUGGGGACUACGGCCGCAAGGUUA